rnacentral:rRNA from 1 species
GACGAACGCUGACGGCGUGCUUAACACAUGCAAGUCGAACGGUGAGGCGCCUUCCUUUUUGGUGGGUGGGGAUCAGUGGAGAACGGGGGAGUAACACGUGAGUCACCUGCUCCCAUCUUCUGGAUAACCGCAUGACAGUGUGGCUACCACGGGAUAUUUUGAGUCUGUCGCUUGAUUGGUCUGGGAAGGAUAUUGUUUCGGUGGUGGAUGGGCUCGCGGCGUAUCAGCUUGUUGGUGGGGUGAUGGCCUACCAAGGCGGUGACGGGUAGCCGGCCUGAGAGGGUGGACGGUCAGGCAGGGACUGAGACACGGCCCAGACUCCUACGGGAGGCAGCAGUGAGAAUAUUGCACAAUGGGCGCAAGCCUGAUGCAGCGACGCGGCGUGAGGGAUGGAGGCCUGCGGGUUGUGAACCGCUUUCGCGAGUGAAGCAGGCUGGCCGCGUUUGUGCGUGGCUUGACGGUAGCUAGAUAAGAAGCGCCGGCUAACUACGUG